UUUCACUUAAUCUGACGGACAAAGUGAUUCAUCAUAUUUUUUUAUUUUUUGCAAUAUCUCUUUCAUCUUCUUUCUCACGAUCUCUCGUUUCCGCCUCUCUCACCAUCUCUUCAACUUCUUGCUCACCAUAACUCAUCUGAAAUCCUCCUCUCUCAUCAUCUUCUCCCAUCACUUCUGCAAUACUCCUCUCUCAUCAUCUAUCCUUAUCCUUAUUGUCGUCAUGGGUUCAAGCUCACCACCUCUGCUCAAGUCCUGAAGCCACCAUCACCAUGACCUCGCCUCUUCCUCCUUGAUCUGGAAUAAUGAUGAAAGUGAUGCGCGCCAGAUGUGAAGGUUGACAUAGCGGAGAUGCGCCGGAGGUGUUACGUACCAGAGAUGGAGGCGGAGGCAGAUGCGGUUCAGAGCAAGAUGAUUUGAGGAGUCAUGAGGAGGCGAAGGCAGAAGAGGUUGAAGACGGCGGAGUUCAGAAGAUUGGUUUAGUUAGGUUUAUUAAUUUUGGUUUUGUCGUUAAUGUAUUAGGUUUAGUUAGUAAAUAUGUUUAGGUUUAAGUUAGUUUAAGUUUUUGGUUUAGUUUUGUAAACCAGUUUGAGUUUGAUUGUAAUCAGCUUAAAUAAUAAACAAAAAUUUUAAUAUAAAAA